UACAGAGACUGCAAGCGUUAUUCGGAUUCACUGGGCGUAAAGGGUGCGCAGGCGGCCAAGUGUGUCAGGUGUGAAAUCCCGAGGCUUAACCUCGGAACUGCGCCUGAAACUACUUGGCUAGAGUACUGGAGAGGGUAACGGAAUUCACGGUGUAGCAGUGAAAUGCGUAGAUAUCGUGAGGAACAUCAGAGGCGAAGGCGGUUACCUGGACAGUUACUGACGCUCAGGCACGAAAGCGUGGGGAGCAAAAGGG
rnacentral:rRNA from 1 species